GUAGCUUCUCUGCUUUUGGCCAGGAUCAAGAGUAGUCUCUACUGCCGGUUUAGCAUCCGAUAUGUUUUCCAUUCAAGGACAGCAUAUUAAAUGGCCUUUUGGAGCAGGAGAUGGAAUAGGAGCUUGCUCUGUCCACUCCAUGCAUAGACCUGGCAUUGCACAACCUCCAGGAAUGGUGCAUCCCUU
ensembl:snRNA U2 U2 spliceosomal RNA